UACGUAGGGUGCGAGCGUUGUCCGGAAUUAUUGGGCGUAAAGAGCUUGUAGGCGGUCUGUCGCGUCUGCUGUGAAAAUCCGGGGCUCAACCCCGGACUUGCAGUGGGUACGGGCAGACUAGAGUGUGGUAGGGGAGACUGGAAGUUCCUGGUGAUAGCGGUGAAAUGCGCAGAUAUCAGGAGGAACACCGAUGGCGAAGGCAGGUCUCUGGACAGUCGACUGACACUGAGGCAGCGAAGGCCAGGGGAGCAAACGGG
rnacentral:rRNA from 1 species